rnacentral:lncRNA from 1 species
AGCGCCAAGCCAGCGCGGGGCGCUAACUGCCGCUCAGCCAAGGAGGGUCGAGUUCGAGCCCCGGGAGGGGCGGUCCCGCGCUAAAUCCGGCUGCAGGGCGGAAGCGGGGCUCCGAGAGCUUUAGGGCUGCAAACGCCCGCAGGGCAAAGACCGGACGAACCUCCCAGUUCUCGGUCCUGGAGACCAAGAAGACACAGCCUUGGAGCCCGCGGGCCCCUCCGCUCCACUGCCAUUCUCCCUUCUCCUCCUGGGAUCGGUGCGAGGGGAGAGAGUGGGCAGAUUGUCCGCAGAGUGGCUGAUUCCGCUUGGCACUUUAAUUCUGGAAGUAUCGUCAGACGGCCGCUGGAUUUCCCAAUCACCACAAAGGAGGCAAGCCUAUUUUGAGUUUUUCUGAAGUGAUUUUCAUUUUCAUCCGGGCAGCCAGUGAUAACUCCUGAAAACACGGAAAAAUGAAGGAGGCUGCGGGAACUGGAGAGCCGCAGGAAAAGCAGCUCACAGCUUUUCCUCAAGGGCUGUUCUCUGUUUUCAAAGACUAGUGACCUAUAAGCACUGUUUCCUCUGGGGAAAAAAAAAUUUACCAAUACAUCUCUCCACCAUUUUUACCCAUCUCCUUUACUUGGUCCUAUUUUUACUCGGCCAAAGAAAGUAAUCAUCUGCCUGUAUUAUAUACUCAGAUUUUCCCCUCAAUUACAAGCUUCAAGUAAAAAAAAAAGACAAAAAUGGAAAGUGUUGGAGCACUGUCUAGAAAGUAGAAACUAUUACAAUAAUAGUAGAAACGAAGAGCACUGGACUGACUUUUGGGAAACCUGGGACCUUUCUUUGCCACUAAUAUGCUAGUCAGAUGGCCCUAAUUUUCUGCCUCUAUUUCUCCAGUCAAAUACAGAUGUUACCGUAGGUGACCCCAGAUCUCGAAGACUGCUAUACUCUUAAGUUUCUUUGGGAAAAGACGGAAAAAUUUGUUUCAGGUAGAUCCCCCUGAGGUGCAUGGUUUACUAUUGAAUCCCUUCCCCAUUUUAAGCUGGGAAGAAGAGGUCUGAACAUACAUAUUCUCAUCCUAAAUCCCUUUAUCCUCUCAUA